GGUGCCGUGGCCGAGAGGUUAGGCAAGGGUCUGCAAAACCCUGUACAGCGGUUCGAAUCCGCUCGGCACCU
rnacentral:tRNA from 1 species